rnacentral:rRNA from 1 species
UACGUAGGGUGCAAGCGUUGUCCGGAAUUAUUGGGCGUAAAGGGCUCGUAGGCGGUCCAUCGCGUCGGGAGUGAAAAGCUGGGGCUUAACCCCAGUCCUGCUUCCGAUACGGGUGGACUAGAGGUAGGUAGGGGAGAUCGGAAUUCCUGGUGUAGCGGUGAAAUGCGCAGAUAUCAGGAGGAACACCGGUGGCGAAGGCGGAUCUCUGGGACGGUACUGACGCUGAGACGCGAAAGCGUGGGGAGCGAACAGG